GGCACCGGCGCCCCUCCCUAAAUGGCCGAGAGGGAACCCCUAACGUGGCCGCGGGGCACUGACGGCCCAAAGCCGAGCCCGGGAAGGGCCGGGAGCCCCAAAGGCCGCCCCACCGCGGCAGAGCACGAGCGUCCCGCGCCAGCUGCCGGACCACGGGCCACGCCGCACACUCGCCUCCACUUCCGUCCACGCAGAGUGGGGGCCGCCAUCUCUUACUUUCGGCCACCUACCCGACGACAAAGACACCGGGAAACUCCGCGGAAGCCGUCUUUCGCGAGGAGCCUGCUACAAUCCCCGCGUGUCCCAGAAACAGGCCAGCCUCUCAGCGUGCCGUACCGCCACACAGGAAGCCGCCAUGUUGUACAUCUUGUACGGCAAAGCCCUCCAUUUCCGGGACCGGCCGCUGACUUGACCCGUGAGGCGCGAGCCAACAAAGGUGGCGUGAGCGCCCUCUGGCGGCGGCGCCGGAGUAGCGCCGCCAGCUUUGACCUGCGGGGAAUUCUGCUUCCGGGUCUCCUGGGGGUGGGGCAUUGACGUGAGCUCGGAGCUGGGUCGCGGCUGGGGUGGCACCCGAGCGUGCGCAACGGCGAUGGCGCGGGGCUGCGGGCUGGGAUCGCGUGGGUUGAGGGUCUGCGUGGUCUGUUACCUCGCCCCCUCCUGGGAGGCCCGUGCUGUUAUUACCAUUUACGGGGGACACGGGUUCGAGCCCUGGUCUGGGAAGAUCCCUGCAUGCCGCAAAGCAACUAAGCCCGUGCGCCAGAACUACAGAGCCUGCGCUCUAGAGCCCGUGAGCCACAACUACUGAGCCCGCGUGCCACAACUACUGAAGCCCACGUGCCUACAGCUCAUGCUCAGCAACAAAAGAAGCCACCGCAAUGAGAAGCCCGCGCACCACAACAAACAGUAACCCCCGCUCGCAGCAACUGGAGAAAGCCCGCGUGCAGUAACGAAGACCCAACGCAGCCAAAAAUAAAAUCAAUUUAUCGAAAAAAACAAAAAACCCCA